rnacentral:rRNA from 1 species
GGGGACCUACGGGAGGCAGCAGUGGGGAAUAUUGCACAAUGGGCGCAAGCCUGAUGCAGCGACGCCGCGUGCGGGAUGGAGGCCUUCGGGUUGUAAACCGCUUUUGUUCAAGGGCAAGGCACGGUCUUUGGCCGUGUUGAGUGGAUUGUUCGAAUAAGCACCGGCUAACUACGUGCCAGCAGCCGCGGCAAUACGUAGGGUGCAAGCGUUAUCCGGAUUUAUUGGGCGUAAAGGGCUCGUAGGCGGGUCGUCGCGUCCGGUGUGAAAGUCCAUCGCUUAACGGUGGAUACGCGCCGGGGAC